rnacentral:lncRNA from 1 species
GGAAGAACCCCGUUUCGGGCUCAGGGAAAUGAAGAGAGAAGGCAGGUAGAUGGGCAGUCUGCAGCCUGGGGCCGUCCUCCGGCCAGGAAUGGUCCCCAGCAGGGAGCCGCCGUGGAGGGCGGGAAGCCGCGGGGCUGCAGCCUGAGGGGGGGGUGGGGAGGGACGGAGGAGGGUCCCGCGCUCUCGGCCUCCUGGUUCCCCUCCCUCCCCUUCUCAGGUUCCUCUGGCCUCGCCCCUCCCUCUCGCAUUCCCAACUCCCAAGGACAACUUGUCGCUCGCCUCAGACGCCCGCCAGGGGCUUGUACCGGUGCCCCAGACUCUGCUGGCUCCCCGGCUUCUUUUGUCUAUUUCUGCAUUGGACGGUUCUCCUGGCUCCGCGUUCCGUGGUUCUGCUUCUCAUCUCUCUCUCUCUCUUUCUCUCUCUCUCUCUCUCUCUCUCUCUCACACACACACACACACACACACACCCUUCUCUCUCCCGCCCACCUCGGCGCGUUCCUCCUCGGCUCUGGCCUUGCCCAAGCGCGCAAGGCCCACCCUCGGAAUCGCCUGCCCGCCCUCCGGCGCGGUGAUCCGACGGCGCCCGGGGCGGGGGCAGGUGAGGUGGCGGGGAGCCCCGCCCGGGCCGACGCGGAGGACCGAAGCGGCCGCGCCAAUCCGCCGCCCAGGCCCUGUCCUCGCCCCCUCCCCGCGCCGGCGCCAGGGGGACGCAGGACGCGUGAGCCCCUUCGCGCCCCCAGCGCCGUCGGCGGCGCCGCCCUAGACGCAGACACUGCCCCAAGAGGCCUCAAAGGGGCAGGGGCGGGAGGAGCGGCGACUUCGAGCCCCCACGCCCCUCGCCCCGGGCGCCGCCACCUCCGUCUCCAGGCGCCUGGGUUCCUGCAGGCUGUGAAGAAGCGCGGAGGACGCGCGGUUGGCAGAGAGGGCGCCCACGGCGACGCGCCGGCGGCCAGCGCCAGGCCGAGCCCAGUGCGCCUGCAGGACCCGGCCCCUUCUCCCGGCGCGGGACGCGGAGCUGCGCGAAGGAGGGGAUGUAAACCGUUUGAAGUUCAUCAGCACGGUGAAGUUUUAUUGUAUUUCCGGUCCCCAAGAUUUAUACCCGGGAGGGGGCGCGGGAGGCCUAGCGGACUCCCUCGUUACCUCGGACUUCCGUGUCGGACACGUGGACACUCGCCUCCCGGGCGAGGGAGGGAGGGAGCCGGCGGGACCCGGACAGGAACGCGGGCUCGGCACCUUGUGACUGCCACCGCCGCCCAGAGAUCCUGGAUCAGAAGAAAUACCUCAAGGUACUUGGGAACAUAGAUCGGGGACGUUGCUAAUUAUGUCGUCCACCGCAGUGUCGUCGUGUGACUUUCACAGUUACCUGAGUGCUUUUAAGCUCAGCCCAGGCCAUCUCUGCCCACCUCAUCUUCACACUUGAGUAGGACACAUGUAUGGACAAGUACCAGUGCCUCCAGCCCCAUGCCCAUCACCGCCUUAAAAAUCAGCAUCCCACAGCACACACUGGCCCUGCAGUGUCGGGUAAGAUAACACAGAAAAGGAUUUUGUGCUCGAACAAAGAAGUCACAACAUUUCAUGACUUCUAGGAAAACAGGCAUUUUCUUCGACCUUCUCGAGGAGUGAUUUGGAAGGAAGUUUGCGAUAGAAACCUGCCUUAAAUCACGGGCAUUCGUGGGAAAAGGCUGCAGACAUUUUGCUUGAAUAUCAAGUUGAGAGGCAGGUUUUCAACAGAGGCUUUGGAAUCAGCUGAUAUUUUAUAGCCACAAUUCACGUACACAAAUAUCAAGUUUUUUGCUUUCUCCAUGGUUGUACGAUGGUUUUAACAAGGUACGCACAAGCUUUGGGGUCGUAGAUCUUCUUAUAAGAGAAGAAUCGUUAACCCACAUCACUCACAGGGGUGAUACACGCAUCCCCAUAAGCACAAUUAGCGCCUAUAUACAAAUACCCAGAUACAGCUAGUAUUAUACUUGGGCAGAUUUAUUUAUCGCAUAUUCUAUACACAGAAUACAGCCCAGCACUUUGCACACAGGGUUCCCCAUACAGAAAUACUGACUUGAAAUCUACAUAUAGGAUGCAGACAUCUAUACCAAUGCGGCAUACGGAAAACUCAGUUUAGCUUAUUCAUUAAAAACAAACUAUUUUUCCCUUUUCUCAUUUACUGUUUUUCUUUUCUUCUUUCCACUCCGAUUUCCUUCCCUCCCUCUAGAUUUUCUGUCUCUUCUAACUGACAAGCAUCCUUUCCCAAGCCAUCUUCCAAGCUCCAGUACUCACCGCCUGCUUCCGGCCAGGGUCAGCCUCUGCUCUUCCAACCCCGGCCUCGCUCUUGGCUGCUCUGGGCCCCAGUGUGGCCAGGGGCUGCCGGGUUCUCUGCCUGCCCUCCCCCAAGCCACCAGCUCCAGCCUCAGCUGUGUUCGGGGAGGCUCCAGGAAAGGGAAUGACAAGAGGCUGCGAGAAGGCAGGGUUUUUUCCUUCUUUCUCUUAGGGAUGGGGGUGGGGUGCCAGCACUUUUGCUCUCUCCGGACAAAGUGACCCCCACUAAAGCAAACCCCCCCCCCGUUAAGUGUUUUUCGAAGCUGGGCUCCAGGGGCCACAGUCCUGUUUGGGCUCCUCUGUCAUGGGGGCUACCAUGGUCUGGUGGAGAAAACAAAAUUGCUGUUGUUUGGGGAGUGGGGUGAGUCCUACAGGUUCUCAGAGCAUCCAAGCAAGGGCACCCUCUUAGCUGACCCUCCAUCAUUCUCCUCAGCUGGAGUUGAACUCCAAUUUGGACUAGCAGAGCUUUCUGGCAAGUUGGCUGAGGUGGGACCUACUGCUUGCAGCACCCACGGGCUCACCUGGAUGGAGGUGAGCCGGGGUGCAGACUCCAGGGCUUGGGAGUCAUUGUGUUCCCUCUGAACCCACCAAGGCCUCCCCAAACUGCCAUUUUGAAGUUGUCCCCACUGUCCAGCUUCUUUGAGAGCCAACGCCUGAGCCCUAGUCUCAGUAAAGAGACCUGGGGCCUCUCACCCAGCUCCCAGCAGCCGCCGGGGAUUGGGGGUGAUUUCCCCAGGCAGCAUCAACCCCCAGAUCUGGACUGUGCUGGGACGCAGAGCACAAGCAGCCAGGAGCCGCACUGUUCUUCCUCUCACUUCUUUUCUCAACUAAGUGGCCCUCCUGCCUCCUCUUCGCUCACUAGCAAAAGGCAGGGCUGGCGAAUGGGAACCAGGAGGGCGGCCGUCAGAGCCCAGUGCCUGCACAGCUCGGGCCAUAAGAGCAGCCCAGCCCUCUGACUUCUCCAUAAAUAAAACAGCCCUAGCCCCCA